rnacentral:rRNA from 1 species
GACGAACGCUGGCGGCGUGCCUAAUACAUGCAAGUAGAACGCACAGUUUAUACCGUAGCUUGCUACACCAUAAACUGUGAGUUGCGAACGGGUGAGUAACGCGUAGGUAACCUGCCUGGUAGCGGGGGAUAACUAUUGGAAACGAUAGCUAAUACCGCAUAAUAUUGAUUAUUGCAUGAUAAUUGAUUGAAAGAUGCUAUUGCAUCACUACCAGAUGGACCUGCGUUGUAUUAGCUAGUAGGUGAGGUAACGGCUCACCUAGGCGAGGAUACAUAGCCGACCGGAGAGGGUGAUCGGCCACACUGGGACGGAGACACGGCCCAGACGCCUACGGGAGGCAGCAGUAGGGAAGCUUCGGCAAGGGACGAAAGUCUGACCGAGAAACGCCGCGGGAGUGAAGAAGGGUGUCGGAUCGGAAAGCUCUGUUGUAAGAGAAGAACGGGUGUGAGAGUGGAAAGUUCACACUGUGACGGUAACUUACCAGAAAGGGACGGCUAACUACGUG